UAGUCUUGCUUUGUGGCUACUCUUGCUGAAAAUUCUGAACAACUUAUCAUAUAAGAUGUGUGAUUUUAUUGAAUGGCUUCUUCUUCUUUAUCAUUAUCUAGCUUUUCUAUUGUUGAAAAUUAACUAAUAUUUAUGAGACUCUUCUUUUGCGUAGGUACAACGAUUCAAUGUUUGCAUACGUUAGUUGAAGUGGAAUAGUUUGUCAUGUGAUGCAUUUAAUUUCUUGGAAAAAGACUAGCGAUUGUUAAUUCAAUGGAUCCUAAUGCUAUAAAAAGAUUAAUCAUUAAUUUUUGAUAAAUUCUUAUUAUAAUAAAAAUCAAUA
rnacentral:misc_RNA from 1 species